rnacentral:rRNA from 1 species
ACGAACGCUGGCGGCGUGCCUAAUCCAUGCAAGUAGAACGCACAGUUUAUACCGUAGCUUGCUACACCAUAAACUGUGAGUUGCGAACGGGUGAGUAACGCGUAGGUAACCUGCCUGGUAGCGGGGGAUAACUAUUGGAAACGAUAGCUAAUACCGCAUAAUAUUAAUUAUUGCAUGAUAAUUGAUUGAAAGAUGCAAUUGCAUCACUACCAGAUGGACCUGCGUUGUAUUAGCUAGUAGGUGAGGUAACGGCUCACCUAGGCGACGAUACAUAGCCGACCUGAGAGGGUGAUCGGCCACACUGGGACUGAGACACGGCCCAGACUCCUACGGGAGGCAGCAGUAGGGAAUCUUCGGCAAUGGACGAAAGUCUGACCGAGCAACGCCGCGUGAGUGAAGAAGGUUUUCGGAUCGUAAAGCUCUGUUGUAAGAGAAGAACGGGUGUGAGAGUGGAAAGUUCACACUGUGACGGUAGCUUACCAGAAAGGGACGGCUAACUACGUG